UACGGGGGGGGCAAGCGUUGUUCGGAAUUACUGGGCGUAAAGGGCUCGUAGGCGGCCAACUAAGUCGGACGUGAAAUCCCUUGGCUUAACCGGGGAACUGCGUCCGAUACUGGAUGGCUUGAGGUUGGGAGAGGGAUGCGGAAUUCCAGGUGUAGCGGUGAAAUGCGUAGAUAUCUGGAGGAACACCGGUGGCGAAGGCGGCAUCCUGGACCAAUUCUGACGCUGAGUGAGCGAAAGCCAGGGGAGCAAACGGG
rnacentral:rRNA from 1 species